UAUAAUUAAGUUUGUCUAGCUAUUUUAUUUUGAGCGUGUAGUCCUACCAUGUGAGUGAAAAACAUACCAAAGAAUGAGUGUAUAGAAAUAAGAGUGUAGCCGUCAAACGCGCACGUGGAGAAAACAACAUAAACAAAGAGCAACGAUCAACAACAAUCAUCAACAAGCAACCAGAACAAGAACACGGUUAAGCGGUUAGAUUCGUCAUCGCGGUGAAUAAAAAGUGCCUGCUAUCAUUGGUGUACCGGAACCGAAGCCGAUCAAGGACGAUAUCCCGGAUUUGCUCAGUGAAAAGCUUCCAGACAACUGAUUGUGGGUAACACGUAGCAGCAUCGACCGAGCCAGCACUGACAAGAUUCAACCUCUGCUGAAGCAACGGUUGAUGCUAGCGUUGUGCUGAGAGAAGGAAGUAGAGCUCGAAAGAAUAUUUUAAGCUGCGCAAACCAGGUAGUAGGAACACAUACGGAACUGCUGCCCUGGUAUUCACCCAUCCGACGUUGGGAAUUGGAGGUGCAGGAAGAAAGCGACCCCUAGCGGGUGAGUAGCCAAAUUACUGUGCGAAAAAGGAGUUUAUGUAAAGCCAAAAUUAACAAUCGGCAGGUCGUUUUUGGGAGCUGAGAAAAUCGCUUUUCGGGACUCGAUUUUCGCCAUCUCGGUUUUGCGAGUCCCGUUUUUGCGAAAUCAAGCUGCGGACGUUGCGAGAGCCAGCCGGAAGUAGGCGGAAGU